rnacentral:rRNA from 1 species
CCUACGGGGGGCUGCAGUCGAGGAUCUUCCGCAAUGGGCGAAAGCCUGACGGAGCGACGCCGCGUGGAGGACGAAGGCCUUAGGGUUGUAAACUCCUGUCGAGGGUUAUGAAGAGCGGCUUGCGAACAGCAAGUCGUGUGACGUAAGCCCUGGAGGAAGCACCGGCUAACUCUGUGCCAGCAGCCGCGGUAAUACAGAGGGUGCUAACGUUGUUCGGAAUUACUGGGCAUAAAGCGUACGUAGGCGGCGCGUCAAGUGCGGGGUGAAAGCCCACGGCUUACCCGUGGAACAGCUUUGCAUACUGACGUGCUAGAGUGCGGUAGAGGAGAGCGGAACUCUUGGUGGAGCGGUGAAAUGCGUAGAUAUCAAGAGGAACACCGAAGGCGAAGGCAGCUCUCUGGGCCGUUACUGACGCUGAGGUACGAAAGCCAGGGGAUCAAACGGGAUUAGAUACCCCAGUAGUC